AUUUUCUUAAGGUCGUAUUAGAAUAGAAAACCACAACAGAAAAGUCUACGAAUUAGUAGAGUAAAAAUAAAAGUAAAAUAAAAUAUAAGAUACCAACACAAUAAUUAAAUGACAACUCAUGUAAUAUUUUAGUGGAAGCUAUCUUGCUUAAAUCUUUUGCUAUUGAUAGAGUUCAUUCUCCCCUUCCGAGCUUUUUCUUAGGUAUGCUCCUUCUAUAUUAGGUUGUGUAUACGAACACAUUUACAUUGGUCCAUUAAGCACCUCACAAUAAAAGGAAAUUUACACAUUCCUUUUUCACAAUCGUUGUUCUCAAUACAUUCAACAAGUACUGUGGUGAAAAAGAAAAAUAUAAGAAUAUUAAUAAAAUGAUAUAAAAGAUUGUGUAUGAGUAAACAUGAAAAUUUAGAAAAGAUGAAAAAUUUGCUUACCAUGGCCAUCAACGUCUAUUAAAACAAAAAACAUGAGAAUAAAGAAGAUUAUAACAUAGAUAAACUUGAGAAUAUUAACCAUAUUUUUCUCUCUUUACAUUAACUUAAUA
rnacentral:lncRNA from 1 species